rnacentral:rRNA from 1 species
GACAGAGGGUGCAAACGUUGUUCGGAAUUACUGGGCAUAAAGCGCACGUAGGUGGUCCACUAAGUCGAGUGUGAAAUCCCCCGGCUCAACCGGGGAAUUGCGCUCGAUACUGGCGGGCUAGAGGUCGAUAGGGGUGAGCGGAACUCCAGGUGGAGCGGUGAAAUGCGUAGAUAUCUGGAGGAACACCGGUGGCGAAAGCGGCUCACUGGAUGCGAAACUAGACACUGAGGUGCGAAAGCUAGGGUAGCAAACGGG